rnacentral:lncRNA from 1 species
AAAUAUUGAGUUGUGUUAAAUGUGAAAUGUGUACGAUAAUAAGACUAGUAGAUAAAUAUUGAGUUGUGUUAUAGGGACUUUCUAGUAUGGUGUAAUUAGUGCCGGUAGUGUUUGGAUGCUGGUAUGCAAUUAUAUGUUAAUGUUGAUGUCCAGUUUUCCAGUUUUGGUUUAGUUCGGGUCCGAAAAAAUGAACCGGUUCACUGAACUAUUAUGAGUUUGGUCCACUUAGGAACAAACUUAGAAAUAAAAUUUAUUUACAUAUGCAGGACUGUUUACAUGUGCAGGAUAAAUUGCAAGCUGAAAAUACCAUCUUAACUCACUAUUAUUUCUCACUCUGCAAGUUUGACAUCUUCCUCCAAGGCUAAUGAGAAGAUGAAGAAAAUGCAAGCUGAAAUCAAUUCGCUCAAGGACAACACUUCAUAAGUUGAUAUAUUGAAGGAGCAAGUUGCAUUUUUAUUGCAAAUGCAAAACUCUAGCGAAAAUUAGGUAAAUUGUUUGUGAUUGUUUUUGACUAAAAAUAUUGACUUGUGUUAAAUGUGAGUGUGUGUAUGAUAGUAAGAUCAGUAGAUAAAAUUUUAAUUAGGUAUUAAAUGCAUUAUNNNNNNNNNNNNNNNNNNNNNNNNNNNNNNNNUCAAUGUAAUCACAAAACAAGCCCAACCAGGGGCUGCCACUUAUUGGUUGGGAAAGAAGAAACUUAACCAAACUGUUAUUCAGCUCAGUGCACUAGGUUCUCUAUUUCUGGAGUAAACCAAUUUUACAAUGACAUAACUGAACUGUAUAUACUCUAUAUAUAUGUAGGACCAAACUAAAUCUUAGUGCUAGUUCUACUUCAUGGGUUGCAAUAAUUUUCCAGCACCCAUUGUUUCGGAAGUAAAUUCCAAUGGCUGGAUUCAAUAACACAAAAAUUAGAUGAGCAUCGAAAGAGAUCAUAUAUUGCAUUACUUUUCUAGUUAAUUGUUCAUACCAAUAAAGAUAGAUUGUUUUAAUAUGCUUUUUGAGAUGCCAUUGUGUUUAGCUCUUGUAGUGCUUAUAGAAAAGAGAUGCAAAAGACAAACUGUCUUCUUUAUGAAUGAUUGUCAGAACUUCACUUGUUUAUGGCUAGAUAAUUGUUCUUAUUUUUUUAAAGUAUUCUAAUCUAUACUUGUAUUUUUUAGGUAUCUGCAUUAGAAGAGUCACUAAAUAGUAGGUGUUUUGAGUCAAGCAAGCACUGAGGAUCAUGAAGCAACAUCACUAGGAAAUAUUUAGAUAUUUUUGUGAACUUCUAAUUUUGAUGUAAUUGUUUUGUAUGUUUAGUCACUUUACUAAUGUAAUUUUGUAUUACUUUAAUUAUUGUUUUAGUUAAGUUUUGAUGUAUGGAUGUUACUAUUGAAUAAAUUAUAUGAAUGAGAAUAAGUCAUUUAUAUUUAUAUAUUUG